rnacentral:rRNA from 1 species
ACGGGGCCCGCACAAGCGGUGGAGCAUGUGGUUAAUUCGACGCAACGCGAAGAACCUUACCAGGGCUUGACACUCCCUGACCGCGUAUGAAAGUACGUUUUCACCCUCGGGUGACAGGGAGACAGGUGGUGCAUGGUUGUCGUCAGCUCGUGUCGUGAGAUGUUGGGUUAAGUCCCGCAACGAGCGCAACCCCUACGUUUAGUUGCUAACGCGUGAAGGCGAGCACUCUAGACGAACUGCCGUUGACAAAACGGAGGAAGGUGGGAUGACGUCAAAUCAUCAUGCCCCUUAUGUUCUGGGCUACACACGUGCUACAAUGGCCGGUACAGACGGACGCAAAGCCGCGAGGUGGAGCAAAUCCUAAAAAGCCGGUCUCAGUUCGGAUUGCAGGCUGCAAUUCGCCUGCAUGAAGUCGGAAUCGCUAGUAAUCGCAGGUCAGCAUACUGCGGUCGAAUACGUUCCCGGGCCUU